rnacentral:rRNA from 1 species
CGUAGGUGGCAAGCGUUGUCCGGAUUUAUUGGGUUUAAAGGGUGCGUAGGCGGUCUUGUAAGUCAGUGGUGAAAUACGGCAGCUUAACUGUCGAGGUGCCAUUGAUACUGCAGGACUUGAGUACAGACGAGGUAGGCGGAAUUGACGGUGUAGCGGUGAAAUGCUUAGAUAUCGUCAAGAACACCGAUAGCGAAGGCAGCUUACUAGACUGUAACUGACGCUGAUGCACGAAAGUGUGGGGGAUCAAACAGGAUUAGAUACCCUGGUAGUCCACACUGUAAACGAUGAUUACUCGAUGUUGGCGAUACACAGCCAGCGUCUUAGCGAAAGCGAUAAGUAAUCCACCUGGGGAGUACGCCGGCAACGGUG